GUCACACUUUAGUUAUAGGGAGACCAGUAGCAAAUUAACACGCCAGCAGCAUUACGAGUGGUGAAAUACAGAAAUAUAUACCCCUACCUGUGUGUAGAAAUGGUGAAACACUGCUGCUAAACAGGGAUUAGAGACCCCUUUAUACAAGUGCUUAAUGAAUUUUGCGGAGCACUACAACCUGUAGGGUUAAAACUUAAACAACAUGGCGGUAACUUUAACUUAGGGGAACUUACCUUGUAAAUGAUAACCACCAAGGUUAACCAACUGCGGGUAAAUCUUGUAUGCCGUUGUCGUCAGGUGGCACUUAAUGUUCCACCUAGAUCGUUAACGAAAAAGACAGAUCAAGGUGCAGACCAUCUAGCAGUAAUGGCGAGUUACAGUUUUACUUAUUAACGGAUAUACUAUGUAACAGUAUUUGAAGGGGGACUUAACAGUAAUAACGAUUAUCAUUCAGGUU
rnacentral:rRNA from 1 species